UUGCUGUAGGGAAGACUAGUCCCCCAUAUUCAUGAUCAUCCUGUUCACUUUGUCAGCCGACAUUUAUGUCUUGCUGAUCAUUUAUUGAUGGGAAAUUU